CAUGCUUUUAAGAUGUGCCAUUGUGUUGAUAUAUUUUAUCUUUAUUUUUCUUUACAUUUUAUAUGCUGUACCUAUCUUGGUUUGAACUAGAUAAGGAUGAUCCUUUACCUAGAUGAUAAACAAUUAACUAGCUCAGCCUAAGCUAUGAUCUACAAAUUUCUUGACGGACAUGUACUACUUUGGUGGAGAUGAUGAUCCUUUCCCCAGAUGAUCGACAAUGAACAUGCUGAGCGCUAUAAUUUCUCUUAGGAGAAACCAAGCCAGGACUCUGAUCUGCCCAGUAGUACAGAUAUUUGUUCUUUAUUGCUUGCUACUGUUUUGUAGUUUGUUAUCUUUCUUUGGCACCAUGGAUGUAUUUUUUAAUGUUUUGAUAUGCCCAUUAUGCGGUGAAAACUGAUUACUAGUGGAUCUAUUCAUAUGGCCAUCGAGUAUGAGUCAUAGUAAUUCUCAAAUUCUCCAAACAGAUGUAGGUUUCUCUGUGCUAGAUUUACUACAACAUUCUAUUUGUUUUCAAUGUGCCAUUCGAUUUGGAGGAUAUGAUGAUCCUUUCCCCAGAUGAUUGGCAAUGAACAUGCUGAGCUCUAUUAUUUCUCUUCAGAGAAACCAAGCCAGUAUUCUGAUCCUCCUAGCCAUUGUAGAUGCCUGUAUUCAUAUGGCCAUUGUGGAUAAUCCUAUGCUUUAAUAAUUCUCCUGAUAUAUCACUGUUUAUUAGUAGGAUAUUUCUUCUGCUUGGCCAUAACAACAAUUUCAUGUUGUUUCUUUUGUAAUUCGAUGGUUGACAGUCUCAUAUAUUACACUAGCUAAUAUAUUACAACAGAAUGAAUCAACUACUCUCGUGGUCGAUCCCAUCCAAUCUAGUAUUAUUUACCGUCUAUCUGUCUGUAUGUAUUUACUCUGAACAAAAUUCAGUCUGCACAUCUGCAUUUGCAAUGCACAAGUACAGAUACAUCCGCCCCUGCUAUUUUCUUGUUAUACAUUACAUAGACGCAUACACACGCCGGGCUAUUUCUGUGUCUGUCUGCCUGGCCUCUCAAGGAUGCAUAUCUCUUUCGUAUGUAUUGGAUUUUGUAACAAUUUUGUUUUCCUCAUACUUAUAAGAUGAUGUGCUCGCUACUUACAUGUUUUCUGAUGCCGCAACAAAGGACUAUAUGUGGUUUCUUCAGUGGGGUUGUCACUGUCGCUCCUCAUGUUCAAUAACAUUUCAGCAUUGGACCUGCUAGUCACCCAAGCCAAGCCUCGCAUCGCUUCAACAAAGUGAUACUUCUUCCAAUCAACCCCUGCUUCGACUCUGCUCUUUUUUCCAUCUUCUCUUAUUUAAGCUAAGAAAGAUUCUGAGUUUGCAUCCAUCUCAUUACACUAGCUAGCAGAAUAUAUUAGUUAAGGCAACUCUACUACAUAUCAAUUUCCCGUACUGGAUUGUUCUAUAUUUUUAAAGUUGUUUCGUGGUGCAUGAGCGCAACCAGAAGAAAUAUAGGCUUAUGAUGACAAUUUUCCUUCUUAAGUAAUCAUAGUUGUUGGCUUCGGUAGCUUGCUGAAUAUGCUUUAGUUAUAUAUAGAAAUGACGUGCCUUCUAUGCUUAAAUGAUUGUUUGGCUCUAUAUAAUUCUUGACAUGAAUAUCUUGACUUCCCAAACAAGUAUAGGACUGUACCUAUGCAUACAGAUUAUCCUAACAAAACUGAAAAUAAAAAUUGAAGCAUGAAAUAAGCAAUAAGUGGUUGAUUUUUAUUUGCAUGUGAAGUGGAAAGUUGUAGCCAAGGCUUAUAUAUUACGAAAUAUUGUCACACCUCUGAGCUUCUACUGUUGUUAGGGACAUCAUAGUGUGAUCUUCAUGAUUUUUCACUUGACGAUGUACUGAUUCAUUAGUCAAGCAGAGACCGAAGUCAUCUUUUGCUACUGUUAGCUCUAUGGAUGUUUAUUUACCUACAACUUCUGCCAGCUCUAAGUUGGUUAUAUAGCAGUUCAAUUCAGUCAAUCUGUUGGAACUCGGUUUGUCUAUUACUUGUAUCCAGAUUUUAUAUCCUGCCCUAUGCCAUUGUCGACUUGCUUAGGUACAUAAUUGUUAUGUCUUGCAAUCUGGUAUUGAUGAUUGUCAAUGUAUUCAUUUAUACCUUUAUAGUGUACCUUGUAUGUGACCCAGCUGAUUUGUAUAACAAUGCUCUGUUUCCAAUAGAUGUAUGUUGAUGCCUGAUGGCCGAUUCCUUAAAACUUCACUGUUGCAGUAGCAUUUUAACUUAGUGCAUAGAUGUAUGAGCAAUCACUUAUGCUUGAAACCUUGCUCUCUUUCCCAGGAACCAUCGUGGUCUGCGUCACUACUGGGGCAGGAGAGGAAAGACUGUUGGUGUCUCCAAGAAGCGAUAAACUGCUUCAGAAAGAUCCCCGCAUAGCUUCACUACUACUGUGUUGGUCCAUUUCCAGAAUCGUAAGGAGUGUUCUUGUUUAGACGAUCACCUUGGAUGAUGCUUUUGCUUAAGGAGAGGCUCAAGAAGAUCAGGGAGCUCCACAUCCGAGUUUCAGCCAUCCUCUACAGCAAGGAGCUCUGGGCCAAAGGAGCAAGCAGCGCUGCUAGUUCCUUGAGGCCAGAUCGAGUAAGAUGGCGCACCAUGGCGUGUGGUGGCGUAUUUUGCUUCCGAGAACAGUACUGUUUAUUUGAAGUGAGAUGUACUCAUCUAGUGCCUGGCAAAAACUGAAGGAUGAAGUGUCAUGUACUGUCUAUGUUGUAGUGAGCUAUUGUAGGAGUGAAAUGAAAAUUUAUCUGUUGGUGUAUGUGCUAUUUCCCUGUAAUGUGUUGUGUACAUUUUACUUGAACAUUAAAUUCCUAGAAAAAAUGUUCUUA